UACGUAAGGGGCAAGCGUUGUCCGGAUUUAUUGGGCGUAAAGAGCGUGUAGGCGGCCCAACAGGUCAGCUGUGAAAACUCGAGGCUCAACCUCGAGACGUCGGUUGAAACCGUUUGGCUAGAGUCCGGUAGAGGAGAGUGGAAUUCCCGGUGUAGCGGUGAAAUGCGCAGAUAUCGGGAAGAACACCCGUGGCGAAGGCGGCUCUCUGGGACGGUACUGACGCUGAGACGCGAAAGCGUGGGGAGCGAACAGG
rnacentral:rRNA from 1 species